rnacentral:lncRNA from 1 species
GGAAGGGCCAGAAGGCCCGGGCCAGCCCCGGCACAGGAGCAGCGUCCCGGUCAGCACACAUGGUAGUUUAGAAACGCAAGAGCUGCGAUUUGACCCGCCUGGAUUUUUUAUUCAGGAGGCAAGGAAAAGGGGCCAGAGGGUGGAAGGCGGCGUUUCCAGUCGUCUCCUGGGGCCUCAAGCUGAAAGCAUCAAACUGGGCGCGGGCGGGGCGCGGGCUCCCUGGCAACGGCGCACGCGCGGCUAGCCCUGGCCGGGGCCCUGGGCUUGUCGGGCGGGCUUCUUCAAUCCGAGACCGGAGUUCUCCGGGGACGAAUACCGGGGCCACGGAGGCAGGAGGAAAGGGGUAGACCGCGCCGUCGGGGCGGAGGCGGACGGGCGGCCUGAGAAAGUCCUCGAAGACUGCGGGGAAGCUGUGUCCGCUUAGUUUCCGGAAGUGGCCUUUGUAAACUUGACUUCCAGUCCCCCUUCGCUGUCUGUCCCUCCUCCCAGGGUCCUAGAGUCCACCGUGUCCCAACAGUUUCCACUCUCAUCCCCUAGGGCAUCCUGGGGUCGUGGGUGUGCACUGCGGACCACGCGAGACCCCUGAGGUAACCGCGGCGGAGCCUCGGGCCGGGAGGGCUGAGAGGAGCAAUGGGGCUGCACUGCGGGCCUGGGGCGUCCCCUCGGGAGCCCCGCCGAGCACCCCGGGACGCCGCCGCUCCCUCCCGGGGCCCUGUACGACGCCAGACUGCGGGGACCUUUACCUCCGAAUCUGUAAACUGGAGGACAAAGGCCACAUCAUUCGUAAUUCAGUCCAUCUAACUUGUACGUCAUAGACAUCUUGGACAAUUUCAGUCAUAAAUAAGGAAGUAUUUCAUUAAGAAACAGGUAUUUUGAAGAGUUGGAAGAGUUACCAUGAAUAUAAACACUUCACAUAAUGCCAUUGGUGAUACUCAAAGGUUGAAGAAUCCCUCCUCAGAUGUAAAACAAUUGAUUAAAAAUGAAACAGACUUGGAUAUUACUGCUGAUCUUAGAAAGAAACUCCAUUGGGCUAAGAAAGAAAAAUUAGAAAUGACAACUAAGCACAAUGCAGAGCUGUCAAGCUAUGAGAGCCAGAUUGCCAAGCUACGGUCUGAGGUUGAAAAAGGAGAAGCAUUUCGACAGAGUCUGGAGUAUGACCUGGCUGUCGCUAGAAAGGAAACUGGUCUUGGAAGACGGGCUGCAGAAGAGAGGUUAGCUGAGGCAUGUAGGAUCCAAGAAGAACUCUGUACUCAGAAUUCAGAACUUCAAGAAAAAGCAAAUGGGAUUGAGAAGGUAUUUCAGACUUCCCAACAGAAAUGGAAAGAAGAAUGCAGAAGAUUUGAACGUGACUUGGAAGAAAGAGAUAAUAUAAUUCAAAAUUGCAAUCAAGAAUAUGAUUUACUUAUGAAGGAAAAAAGUAGACUGGAAAAAACUCUACAGGAAGUGUUGGAAAAACAUCAACUGGAGAAGAGUAAGAUGGAGUCACAUGUCAGGGAGACUGCACUGGAGGAGUUUAGAUUACAAGCCGAGCAAUGGGAUGUGGAGAGAAGAGAGUUACAAUUUAUAGUACAGGUAUUUAAAAAUAAUUUAGUUCCUCAAAUAUGUCUUUAUAAUUUUAUGAUAUUACAAUCAUACGCUAUUAGAAUUAUAGUAGGAUAAUUCAUUUAAGGGAAAAAUAAUUCUGUCUUUGAUCUCUGG